rnacentral:rRNA from 1 species
CCUACGGGGGGCAGCAGUGGGGAAUAUUGGACAAUGGGCGAAAGCCUGAUCCAGCCAUGCCGCGUGUGUGAAGAAGGCCUUCGGGUUGUAAAGCACUUUCAGUGGGGAAGAAAGCCUUGGGGCUAAUACCCGCGAGGAAGGACAUCACCCACAGAAGAAGCACCGGCUAACUCCGUGCCAGCAGCCGCGGUAAUACGGAGGGUGCGAGCGUUAAUCGGAAUUACUGGGCGUAAAGCGCGCGUAGGCGGUCUGAUAAGCCGGUUGUGAAAGCCCCGGGCUCAACCUGGGAACGGCAUCCGGAACUGGCAGGCUAGAGUGUAGGAGAGGAAGGUAGAAUUCCCGGUGUAGCGGUGAAAUGCGUAGAGAUCGGGAGGAAUACCAGUGGCGAAGGCGGCCUUCUGGACUGACACUGACGCUGAGGUGCGAAAGCGUGGGUAGCAAACAGGAUUAGAUACCCCAGUAGUC